GAGUUUGAUCAUGGCUCAGGACAAACGCGGCGGCAUGCCUAACACAUGCAAGUCGAACGGACAAGUUAGUGGAAAUUUUUCGGAAUGGAAACUAAUGCGUUAGUGGCGGAUGGGUGAGUAACGCGUGGAUAACCUGCCUCUAAAUGGGGAAUAACUACGAGAAAUCGUAGCUAAUACCGCAUAAUAUCUCUUUAUUGCAUGAUAGAGAGAGGAAAGACGGCCUUAGCGCUGUCGUUUAGAGAUGGAUCCGCGUCUGAUUAGCUAGUUGGUGAGGUAAGGGCUCACCAAGGCGACGAUCAGUAGCCGGCCUGAGAGGGUGAACGGCCACAUUGGGACUGAGACACGGCCCAAACUCCUACGGGAGGCAGCAGUGGGGAAUCUUCCGCAAUGGGCGCAAGCCUGACGGAGCAAUGCCGCGUGAGUGAAGAAGGCCUUCGGGUUGUAAAACUCUGUCCUUAUCGAAGAGAGAGAAGAGUAGUAACUGACUUUUCUAGGACGUAGAUGAGGAGGAGCCCCGCA
rnacentral:rRNA from 1 species